rnacentral:rRNA from 1 species
AGAACGAACGCUGGCGGCAUGCCUAACACAUGCAAGUCGAACGGGACCUUCGGGUCUAGUGGCGCACGGGUGCGUAACGCGUGGGGAUCUGCCCUUAGGUACGGAAUAACUCAGGGAAACUUGAGCUAAUACCGUAUAAUGACUUCGGUCCAAAGAUUUAUCGCCUAGGGAUGAACCCGCGUAGGAUUAGCUUGUUGGUGAGGUAAAGGCUCACCAAGGCGACGAUCCUUAGCUGGUCUGAGAGGAUGAUCAGCCACACUGGGACUGAGACACGGCCCAGACUCCUACGGGAGCAGCAGUGGGGAAUAGUUGGACAAGUGGGACGAAAGCCUGAUCCAGCAAUGCCGCGUGAGUGA